rnacentral:rRNA from 1 species
GGAUUAGAUACCCUGGUAGUCCACGCUGUAAACGAUGUCAACUAGCCGUUGGGGGAUUUAGUCCCUUAGUGGCGCAGCUAACGCGCUAAGUUGACCGCCUGGGGAGUACGGCCGCAAGGUUAAAACUCAAAUGAAUUGACGGGGGCCCGCACAAGCGGUGGAGCAUGUGGUUUAAUUCGAUGCAACGCGAAGAACCUUACCAGGCCUUGACAUCCCCGGAACUUAGCAGAGAUGCUUUGGUGCCUUCGGGAACCGGGUGACAGGUGCUGCAUGGCUGUCGUCAGCUCGUGCCG